UGAUAGCAGAGUCCAACUCCACUGCUAGUAAAUUGUUCUUCCUUAACAGAAAAGAAACAUGAUCUGCACUGAGAGGUUUAUAGAUCCUACAUACCACCUAAGAUCAGAGGUUUAUGAUCAUUAUCAGCAAUAAAGA
rnacentral:lncRNA from 1 species